AAUCAACGCUGGCGGCGCGCUUAACACAUGCAAGUCGAACGAGAAAGCCGGAGCAAUCUGGUGAGUAAAGUGGCGUACGGGUGAGUAACACGUGGAUCAUCUACCUCUUAGUGUGGAAUAACCAUGGGAAACCGUGGCUAAUACCGCAUAAGUCCGUGAGGAGAAAGCAGCAAUGCGCUGAGAGAGGAGUCCGCGGCCGAUUAGCUAGUUGGCAGGGUAAAAGCCUACCAAGGCAGAGAUCGGUAGCCGGCCUGAGAGGGCACACGGCCACACUGGCACUGAAACACGGGCCAGACUCCUACGGGAGGCAGCAGUGGGGAAUCUUGCACAAUGGGGGAAACCCUGAUGCAGCGACGCCGCGUGAGCGAUGAAGCCCUUCGGGGUGUAAAGCUCUUUCGGCAGGGAAGAUUAUGACGGUACCUGCAGAAGCAGCUGCGGCUAACUACAUGCCAGCAGCCGCGGUAAUACGUAGGCAGCGAGCGUUGUUCGGAGUUACUGGGCGUAAAGGGUGUGUAGGCGGUCGCCUAAGUUUGGUGUGAAAUCUCCCGGCUCAACCGGGAGGGUGCGCCGAAUACUGAGUGACUAGAGUGUGGGAGAGGAAAGUGGAAUUCCUGGUGUAGCGGUGAAAUGCGUGGAUAUCAGGAGGAGCACCGGCGGUGUAGACGGCUUUCUGGACCAUAACUGACGCUGAAACACGAAAGCGUGGGUAGCAAACAGGAUUAGAUACCCUGGUAGUCCACGCCCUAAACGAUGCAUAUUUGGUGUGGGUCAUUCAGUUGAUCCGUGCCGGAGCUAACGCGUUAAAUAUGCCGCCUGGGGAGUACAGUCGCAAGGCUG
rnacentral:rRNA from 1 species